UUUCAUGAUUUUUUGAAUCCCCAUUCGACAAAAUGUACCCCACUCCCCCAAUGUGUAUAUAAUUUUGUAUUGUUUUAUUUCUCUAUUUGUUUUAGAUACUAACACAAGAAUAAAAUCAACAAUUUCAAAAAAAUACAAAAAUAUGACUCGAUCCAACGUCGAGUAUUUUCUCAAUAAACAAAUCAACUCAUUUCUCCCUCCUAUUCCAUUCCAUUUCUUCCAAACUUUCAUCAAAC
rnacentral:lncRNA from 1 species